rnacentral:rRNA from 1 species
GUCUUUUUGAUUAUAAUUUAAAGUCUAAUCUGCCCAAUGAGUAUUUAAAUGGCUGCGGUAUUUUGACCGUACAAAGGUAGCAUAAUCAUUAGUUUUUUAAUUGAAAGCUAGAAUGAAUGAUUGAACGAGAAAAUUACUGUCUCAAUUUAAUUUUUUUAGAAUUUUAUUUUUAAGUCAAAAAGCUUAAAUAAUUUUUAAAGACGAGAAGACCCUAUAGAGUUUAAUAUUUUUAAAUAUAAUAAAUUUUAUGAAUACUAUAAAUUUUUAAAAAUAUUUUGUUGGGGUGAUAAUUAAAUUUAAAAAACUUUAAUUUUUAAUUACAUAAAUUUAUGAAUAUAUGAUCCAUUUAUAAUGAUUAAAAGAUUAAAUUACCUUAGGGAUAACAGCGUAAUUUUUUUUGAGAGUUCUAAUCGAAAAAAAAGAUUGCGACCUCGAUGUUGGAUUAAAAUUAAAUUUUGGUGUAGAAGCUAAAACUUUAAGUCUGUUCGACUUUUAAAAUUUUACAUGAUCUGAGUUUAAACCGGUGUGAGCCAGGUUGGUUUCUAUCUUAAAAUAAUUUAAAUAUUUUAGUACGAAAGGACCAAAUAUUUAUAAUAAUUAUUAAUUUAUGAAUAU